rnacentral:rRNA from 1 species
AUGUUGGCCGGGCGACGGUUGUCCCGGUUUAAGCGUGUAGGCUGGUUUUCCAGGCAAAUCCGGAAAACUAAGGCUGAGGCGUGAUGACGAGGCACUACGGUGCUGAAGCAACAAAUGCCCUGCUUCCAGGAAAAGCCUCUAAGCAUCAGGUAACAUCAAAUCGUACCCCAAACCGACACAGGUGGUCAGGUAGAGAAUACCAAGGCGCUUGAGAGAACUCGGGUGAAGGAACUAGGCAAAAUGGUGCCGUAACUUCGGGAGAAGGCACGCUGAUAUGUAGGUGAAGUCCCUCGCGGAUGGAGCUGAAAUCAGUCGAAGAUACCAGCUGGCUGCAACUGUUUAUUAAAAACACAGCACUGUGCAAACACGAAAGUGGACGUAUACGGUGUGACGCCUGCCCGGUGCCGGAAGGUUAAUUGAUGGGGUCAGCGCAAGCGAAGCUCUUGAUCGAAGCCCCGGUAAACGGCGGCCGUAACUAUAACGGUCCUAAGGUAGCGAAAUUCCUUGUCGGGUAAGUUCCGACCUGCACGAAUGGCGUAAUGAUGGCCAGGCUGUCUCCACCCGAGACUCAGUGAAAUUGAACUCGCUGUGAAGAUGCAGUGUACCCGCGGCAAGACGGAAAGACCCCGUGAACCUUUACUAUAGCUUGACACUGAACAUUGAGCCUUGAUGUGUAGGAUAGGUGGGAGGCUUUGAAGUGUGGACGCCAGUCUGCAUGGAGCCGACCUUGAAAUACCACCCUUUAAUGUUUGAUGUUCUAACGUUGACCCGUAAUCCGGGUUGCGGACAGUGUCUGGUGGGUAGUUUGACUGGGGCGGUCUCCUCCUAAAGAGUAACGGAGGAGCACGAAGGUUGGCUAAUCCUGGUCGGACAUCAGGAGGUUAGUGCAAUGGCAUAAGCCAGCUUGACUGCGAGCGUGACGGCGCGAGCAGGUGCGAAAGCAGGUCAUAGUGAUCCGGUGGUUCUGAAUGGAAGGGCCAUCGCUCAACGGAUAAAAGGUACUCCGGGGAUAACAGGCUGAUACCGCCCAAGAGUUCAUAUCGACGGCGGUGUUUGGCACCUCGAUGUCGGCUCAUCACAUCCUGGGGCUGAAGUAGGUCCCAAGGGUAUGGCUGUUCGCCAUUUAAAGUGGUACGCGAGCUGGGUUUAGAACGUCGUGAGACAGUUCGGUCCCUAUCUGCCGUGGGCGCUGGAGAACUGAGGGGGGCUGCUCCUAGUACGAGAGGACCGGAGUGGACGCAUCACUGGUGUUCGGGUUGUCAUGCCAAUGGCACUGCCCGGUAGCUAAAUGCGGAAGAGAUAAGUGCUGAAAGCAUCUAAGCACGAAACUUGCCCCGAGAUGAGUUCUCCCUGACUCCUUGAGAGUCCUGAAGGAACGUUGAAGACGACGACGUUGAUAGGCCGGGUGUGUAAG